rnacentral:rRNA from 1 species
AGUUUGAUUAUGGCCUGUGAUUGAACGCUGGCGGAUGCUUUACAUGCAAAGUCGAACGGCAGGACUUCGGUCUGGUGGCGAGUGGCGAAUGGGUGAGUAAUAUCGGAACGCCUAGUAGCGGGGGAUAACUACGCCGCAGCGGCCAAUACCGCACACGCCCUCGGGGGAAAGCGGGGACCUUCUUCGGGCUCCUGCACUAUUAGAGCGGCCGAUAUCGGAUUAGCUAGUUAGUGGGGUAACGGCUCACCAAGGCGACGAUCCGUAGCUUGAGGACGACCAGCCACACUGGGACUGAGACAUCUUUGGCCCAGACUCCACGUGAGGCAGCAGUGGGGAAUUUUGACAAUGGGGAAACCCUGAUCCAGCCAUCCCGCGUGUGCGAUGAAGGCCUUCGGGUUGUAAAGCACUUUUGGCAGUGAAAGAAAACGGCACGGAUAUUAAUACCCGUGCAACUGACGGUACCUGCAGAAUAAGCACCGGAUACGUGCCGCCAGCAGCCGCGGUGUAGGGUAAGCGUUAAUCGGAAUUACUGGGCGUAAAGCGUGCAGGCGGUUCGGAAAGAAAGAUGAAAUCCCAGAGCUUAACUUUGAACUGCAUUUUUAACUACCGAGCUAGAGUGUCAGAGGGAGUGGAAUUCCGCGUGUAGCAGUGAAAAUGCGUAGAUAUGCGGAGGAACACCGACAUGAAGGCAGCCUUCCUGGGAUAACACUGACGUCAAUAUGCACGAAAGCGUGGGGAGCAAACAGGAUUAGAUACCCUGGUAGCGACGCCCUAAACGAUGUCAAUUCACAGCAAAUUUCCUGCCUUGUAGCAGCUAACGCGUGAAGUUGAAUCGCCUGGGGAGAUGGUCGUGUUUAAAACUCAAAGGAAUUGACGGACCCGCACAAGCAUGGCAUGAUGUGGAUUAAUUCGAUGCGAACGAAAAACCUUACCUACCCUUGAUGAUACCAAAGAGACUAGAGUGCUCGCAAGAGAACUGGAACAGGUGCUGCAUGGCUGUCGUCAGCUCGUGUCGAUGUUGGGUUAAGUCCUGCAACGAGGCAACCUCUUCUUUAUCAGUUAUUAUGGCUACGAAAGCGGCACUCUAAUGAGAUCAAGCCGGUGACAAACCGGAGGACAGGGAUGACGUCCUCAUGGCCCUUAUGGGUAGGGCUUCACAUCGUCAUACAAUGGUCGGGACAGAGGGUCACCAACCCGAGCUAAUCCCAGAAACCCGAUCGUAGUCCGGAUCAGUCUGCAACUCGACUGUGAAGUCGGAAUCAAUCAGUAAUCGCGGAUCGUGCAUGUCGCGGUGAAUACGUUCCCGGUCCGGCCACACACCGCCCGUCACACCAGGGAGUGGGUUUUACCAGAAGUAGUUAGCUUCCAACUGUAAGUGAGGGCGAUUACCAAUGUAGAUCCAUGACUGGGGUGAAGUCGUACAUCAUGGUAG